GACUGUGUAACUCCUAGUUGAGUGUGAAGACCUGAGGUAUCAGGGGUAGGGGUUGCUCUGCUUGUGUAAGUCCCAUAGUGUGAAGGCCAGAGAACCAAGAGAUGGUCAAGAAGAGAGAAAACUUUUGUGGAUAGCUAAGUUACUGCUAGCCAUCUGAUUAUAGCAAUGGCUUCCAGGAGCAUCACGACCUGUGCAGACUCCCCAGCAUCAUAACAGGAAGGUCCCACGAUCACGAGCACAUUGCCUUCAGCAUCCAGCACUGAAUAUGGUGAAUUGCACUCUGAAGAGCUUCCUAAGCUUGUAAGAAAGUGAUUCUGAAAAGCUCAACAUUUUGGUAGAAUGGAGAGAUUUGACAUUGCUUCUGCUCCAAAAGCAAAAGACUUGGGCCUGGCGUAAAGGAGAUGGGACUCACACCCAAGAGGAUGCAUUUCCAUACACCCAUUUCUGAAAUAUGAAGAGGUGUCCAGUCUGUUUGAUUCAUAGCUGCCUGUUCCACAACUGCAGAUACAGUAAUUGAUAACCGAGACCAAGUUCUCAUCCCCAUCUCCCAGGGCUGGAACUGGGGCUGUGUUUGGUUCUCAUAAGAUCAGUUCCAGUUUUAGAAACUGAGUAAAUUGUGGAGUAAAUAUUGCCAAGUGAUGGCUUUCUGCUGUAGGCGUGGGUCGCUGUUGGCCAUUUGCCUCAGCAUAUCACCAGCAAUGCACCUCAUUGCAUCACUGCAUUUCCAAUUACACCUCAAAGCACCACUGGUCCCCUGUCCACCCUCUGCCCUGCAGAGGUGGGUGUUCAGGGAGACAGAUCCAAAAUCUGGGCUCAGAAGAUGGAAAUGCCAACUGCUCUCAAUUUGAGAGUGGGGAUGAGACUUUUUGACUCAACUCUGGUUAAUUCAGCCAUGCUGUCAGAGCUGCUUUGAUGCAAGGACAUCUGAAUGCUAUCUGAAUGCUGCCCCUAAAAUAACAAAUUAAAAACAACAACAACAACAAAAA
rnacentral:lncRNA from 1 species